rnacentral:rRNA from 1 species
UGGGGAAUAUUGCACAAUGGGCGCAAGCCUGAUGCAGCCAUGCCGCGUGUAUGAAGAAGGCCUUCGGGUUGUAAAGUACUUUCAGCGGGGAGGAAGGGAGUAAAGUUAAUACCUUUACUCAUUGACGUUACCCGCAGAAGAAGCACCGGCUAACUCCGUGCCAGCAGCCGCGGUAAUACGGAGGGUGCAAGCAUUAAUCGGAAUUACUGGGCGUAAAGCGCACGCAGGCGGUUUGUUAAGUCAGAUGUGAAAUCCCCGGGCUCAACCUGGGAACUGCAUCUGAUACUGGCAAGCUUGAGUCUCGUAGAGGGUGGUAGAAUUCCAGGUGUAGCGGUGAAAUGCGUAGAGAUCUGGAGGAAUACCGGUGGCGAAGGCGGCCCCCUGGACGAAGACUGACGCUCAGGUGCGAAAGCGUGGGGAGCAAACAGG